rnacentral:rRNA from 1 species
GAGUAGAGUGGCGCACGGGUGAGUAACGCGUGGGAACCUACCAAGCAGUGGGGAAUAACCUUUGGAAACGAAGGCUAAUACCGCAUACGCCCUUCGGGGGAAAGAUUUAUCGCUGUUUGAUGGUCCCGCGUCUGAUUAGCUAGUUGGUAAGGUAAUGGCUUACCAAGGCGACGAUCUGUAGCUGGUCUGAGAGGAUGAUCAGCCACACUGGGACUGAGACACGGCCCAG